rnacentral:rRNA from 1 species
GAUGAACGCUGGCGGCGUGCCUAAUACAUGCCAGUCGAGCGAACGGACGAGAAGCUUGCUUCUCUGAUGUUAGCGGCGGACGGGUGAGUAACACGUGGAUAACCUACCUAUAAGACUGGGAUAACUUCGGGAAACCGGAGCUAAUACCGGAUAAUAUUUUGAACCGCAUGGUUCAAAAGUGAAAGACGGUCUUGCUGUCACUUAUAGAUGGGUCCGCGCUGCAUUAGCUAGUUGGUAAGGUAACGGCUUACCAAGGCAACGAUGCAUAGCCGACCUGAGAGGGUGAUCGGCCACACUGGAACUGAGACACGGUCCAGACUCCUACGGGAGGCAGCAGUAGGGAAUCUUCCGCAAUGGGCGAAAGCCUGACGGAGCAACGCCGCGUGAGUGAUGAAGGUCUUCGGAUCGUAAAACUCUGUUAUUAGGGAAGAACAUAUGUGUAAGUAACUGUGCACAUCUUGACGGUACCUAAUCAGAAAGCCACGGCUAACUACGUG